CUCUCUUUCUGUUCCUUUUCUGGUACUGGGUACUGAACCAAAGGCCUUGUGCUUCAUUGCAAAUGCUUUACCACUGAGCUAAUUCCUCAGCAUAGUCACAAGCUUUCAGAGAAGGAAGGCAAGGCGUGUGUAGCUCAAGAAUAAGAGCAGACGUACACUUGGCCCUGUGAUGGGCUGGUCAGAUUUUCUUUCUUUUUAUUAAACUAGUAACCCGAACCAUUUGUACAGACAAAAUGUCCUUGGGAUUCUUUCGCAUGUUCUUGAAAGUGGUGCCAAGAGGGAAGAAAGUGUUUUUAUGAUGGUGGAAUGGGUACCAACAUCUACCUAUUUAAAUUUGAAUAGUAAAGCCCCCCCCCCCGCGCCCCCUGAUUAGUUUGUCAGGGUUGUUAGAACAAACAGAGCAAAAGCCCCACAGACUGGUUGGCUAAAUAACAGAAAUGUUUGUUUUUCCAGGUCUGGAGCCUGGAAGUCUGAGGUCAAGGUGUUGGCUGAGUUGGUUUCUUUUGAAGCCUCUCUUCUUGGCUUGUAGACAGCCUCUGUCUUCUCAGGACGUCCUCACAUGGCCUUUGCUUUUUGCCUGUGUGAAGAUUUCCACUGAUUAUUAUAAAGGAAAAUGCUAUUGGAUAAGCACUAAGAGCCUUUACCCAGAGGCCCUUGCUUUAACGGAAUUAACUUUCGAGGACCCCAUUGUUUCCAAACACAGCCACAGUCGGAGCCACUAGGAGUUAGGAUUUCAGUGCAUGAAUUGGGAGACUCGCAAUAUGGACUUUAUAUCCUUUUUUUUUUUUUUAAAGGUGAAUAUAGUUCAGUGAAGUUUGUUUUCAUAAUCAAAAGAAAUCAGACUUCUUCUCCCCGCCCCCUUUUGAGACAAAUUGAUUUGUGAUGACUUUGUCCAAGGCCUGCUAACAUUUUAAAGUAGUAGCCAAACUUCUCAUUUUUUUCUGUGUUCUGUAACAGGCUUUAUGGGUCCACGAAGUCUUUCCUAAAACCAUCAAAAAUAAGUACAUUUCAGAAUUCAGAACAUUCAAGUUGCUAAAAAAAUGGUGAAUGUCCUGUGUGAUUACCUAUCUUGAUGAGGUAGUGUGAUGAGGGUCUGUAACAUCAUAUAUACAAAGUUGUGUUGACAUUUUGUAGUAGAAGACAAGAAGAAAAUAUGUUCAUGCUCAGCAAUUUGGAUCUGAACUCAUCCUGCAAGGGAUUCCUGUAUAGUCAGUCAGUGGUUGGGAGCACUACCUCUGCCGCAGUGGGACUUAGUUCCCAGCACCCACACUGCAGCUUGUACCACUCUAGUUCCAAGGGAUCCAACAUUCUCAUCAGGGACACACAUGAUGUGUCCUCCUAUAUGCUGGCAAAUACUUAUAAACAUAACAUAAAGAUUUGAAAAAGAAUAAGGACCACUCCUUUGAAGAUUAUCUGAUAUGCUUGGUGCAAUCUGUACCCAACGCAGUAAAACCAAGAUAACUUAUGUAGUCAGAUCGUGGAUCUCAGGUAUUAAACAUCAAAGUAGUCUAUCCUUGGUGUGGAGCAAAGGGAGUUUUCAACAAAUUAGGUUUCCUCCUUCCUAGAACUCUCUUCUCAACUCCAAUACAAUCUGCCAAACCUCCCAGACACCUCCUGUUAACCCACCAUGUACCCUGAGAGCAAACCCCUGUGCCUGCUGGGUCUCAGUUUCUCCGCUGCUACACUGAAGACAUGAAAGUUGGGCCUGCCUCCUAAGAUCCCCUUCCAUUGUGACUUUAAAGUCGCUAGAGAAGCUCUGACACAAGGCUUCCUCCGCCAGCUAUCAGCGGCCAUCUGGCAAUUAGCAGCCUCUGAGGCAGCUAAUCCCACUCUGAGCUGGAUUAAAGCUGAAGUUUAAAACACGGAGAUAGGCAGGUGAUUUCUGUUUGAGUCUUUGGGUCCUGCUGUCCCCGGCAGCAUGGUGAGAGGCCAGAAAAGCUGAUUUCUUUCCCUUAUCUAUCCUGGGAGGCUCAGAGAGCAAGAUCAGCCUUCCAGAGCGGCACCACGCUGGGCAGUGUGUGGGACUGCAGGAGUCAGCAGAAGUCAUGUGCACCUCAUUGCUGAUAGAAGGUGAAUCAAAGGAGGGGACCCAAGCGACCAUCACUUCAGGCUGGAGUGUUCAGUGAGCUGGACUAGCUAGGACAAAGCAGUCUCCUGUGACAUCUGCUGUCUUCCCAAGGUGUGAGCCAGCAGAGCCCACCCCUCUGUGUAACUUAUUUCAUAUCAUCUACACUUUCCAAUAAGCCCUUACUCUAUUAGAUUGCUUCCUGGAAGAGCCAAAUAUUAAAAAUCACCGGUCAGUCGGUUUCUUUAUUCUGUUAGUCACCAAACUGAUUUUUUAAGCUCAGAACCAAUAAAGCUGUGAUGGUGAAGAACAGAUAUAGAUUUCUCUUUCCCACACACUCAUAUAUAAUAAUAAUAAAACUUUAUUAAACAAGAGACA